GUGGAUUAGAUACCCUGGUAGUCCACGCCGUAAACGAUGUCAACUAGUUGUUGGUGAUAUGAAUAUCAUUAGUGACGAAGCUAACGCGAUAAGUUGACCGCCUGGGGAGUACGGUCGCAAGAUUAAAACUCAAAGGAAUUGACGGGGGCCCGCACAAGCGGUGGAGCAUGUGGUUUAAUUCGAUGCAACGCGAAGAACCUUACCUACCCUUGACAUACAGUGAAUUUUCCAGAGAUGGAGAAGUGCCUUCGGGAGCACUGAUACAGGUGCUGCACGGCUGUCGCCAACU
rnacentral:rRNA from 1 species